ensembl:lncRNA
ACAGGUUGACUGACUAAUGUCAAGAAGGAAAACGAGAAAAACUGAAAGAAGAACAAGAGACCAAGAUGUAUGCUGAAAUUACCCAUCUCUGCACGGUAUGCCCCUAAACCAAUCCUAAAACCUACUCUACUGUGCAAGGAUGUAAGAUCAAUGAAGUGAGACUGGAGAGAAUUACAUCCAUCUGAAGGAGAUAGAAAAGGGAUUUUGAUAUACUUGUGUGACUACUUCACAAGACAGGAUAUGAAGAAACUGAGCAUGCUUCAUCUUUGAAACAAUUUCCCCUUUGAAACAAUUGA